ACUCAGCUAGCUCAUCAUCCCUGUUCUCUGAAGGUGGACCCUCCUCAGACUGGGUUUGAUUCAGCUAGCUAAGCAAGGAUCACACAGAAUGAAUACAGGACAAAUCUAUAUAAGAAAGUCCCAAUAUAAUUAAAACAUCACAUUUUUAUAAAAAUGAGAAUUGUGGUAUUGACCAAAGAAUUACUGGCAAUAAGUUUGGAUGCUUUGUAGAGCAAUUCAGUGGAAUUUAAAUCUAGUGAUCUACAAAUCAUAAAAAUCUUAUGCAUUGGUAUUCAUUAACGAGUAGAGAUACUUACCUAUAGAAGAAAGAACCAUUUAUGCAUGAAUUCCUACUUAGUGAGUGAUGGCUCACUGUGUUUUCCUAUUUUUUAACAUGAAUAUAUUGUGAUUACAAAAUAUAGGGCUAGAGAAUUCAAUAGUAUCCUAGCAGUUAAGGAUCUGGUCUUGUCACUGCCAUAGCACUGUUGCUACUGUGGCUCAGGUUCAAUCUCUGGUUGGGGAACUUCUCCAUGCCAUAGUUGCAGGCAAAAAACAGAGAGAGAGAGUGAUUAAAUACAGCUUGGGUCAAUGUAGGAAGUGUGGAGGAGAGCUAGCAAAUGGAGCAGGGUUAGAUAUGUAGUAGAGAGGUAAGAAAUUAAGUGCAGUGAUGACCAAUGAUAUACAAAAUUUGGCUUUCACUCUAUAAUGGAAAUCCCAAGGCAAGAUUUGUCCAUAACAGUGACUCUAGGACACUACAUGUAUAAAAAAGUAAAAAAGAAUUACUGAUACUUUCAAAUGCUCAUUGAUUUGGUAUAAUAUUGGUAAUUAUGCAUGUGCAUAAAAUAUUCAAUUACAUAAAUGUUUACAAAUAAUUUUCUAAAAAUAAUUCAAAUUCUCUAUUAUAUAUAGUAUUGAUAAAUGUUCAUAGUAGGCAUAGAUUUGUAGAUGGACUACUCACAGAAACAUCCUGAGUAAUCACACAAGACAUAAUAUUUAGGGGUUACAGAAUAAGGUCAGUGGAGUGAGGACACUAAGAAGAUGAAGAAUAUAAUCCAAAACAGGUAUAAAUUUUUUUGCCUUUUUUGGGCCACACGCACAGCCUAUUGAGGUUCCCAGGUUAGGGGUCAAAUCAGAGCUAUAGCCACUGGCAUGAGCCACAGACACACAGAAUCUGACCUGUGUCUGUCUGUCACCUACACCACAGCUAAGGCCAAUACCAGAUCCUUAAUCCACUGAGUGAGGUCAGGGAUUGAACCUGCAUCCUCAUGGGUCCUAGUCAGAUUCAUUUCCUCUGAGCCACGAUGGGAACUCCAAGAGGUAUAAAUUUUUAUAGGUUAAAGUGUCUCUCAUCAAAAAUAAGAUAUGCUAAAGUCCUAACCCUUGAUACUACAGAAUAUGACUUUAUUUGGAAAUAGGGUCAUUGUCAAUGAAAUUAUCUAAGGUGAGGUCAUAAUAUGGUAGAGUUAUUUCCUAAUCCAAUAUGACUGCUGUCCUUAUAAAAAAGACACCAUGUGGCAUGAAGAGACAGAGAGACGCUGUGAGAACUUCUUAUGACAACAAGGCAGCUGCUGCCAAGGGAUAGCAAAUGAAACCAGCCAACCACCAGAGCAAGGAAGAAAUAAGGAAGGAUUUUCCCGAAGGUGUCUGACUGGUAGACACCUUGAUUUUGGACUUUUAGACCCUCGAAAUGUGAAUAAUACAUGCAUGGUAUUUUAAGCCACCCGGUUUGUGGUACUUUGAAAUGGCAGAAUCUAAAAUUUGCUUUCUCCAGGGAAUGAUCAAUUAUUCAUGAUAAUAUCUAGGUAAGUAAAGAUAUUGAAGAAUUAUUUCCCUCCAGCCCCAGCUUUACCUCCUGAAGGCAAAGGUGGUCUAGAAAAAAAUAUAGUGUUACUUGGUAUGAUAUUCCUACAGGGAUAAAAGAAAUAACAAAGGCUAAAGAAAUUCCAUAAAUACCUGUGUGUGUGUGUGUGUGUGUGUGUGUGUGUGUGUGUGUAGUUAUCUGGACAAAUUAGAUACACAUUCCAUACCUUAUACCAAAAUAAAUUCAAGCUGUGUCAUAAAUUAAAAUGUUAAAAUUGUAUGAAAGUAUAGUUUUUUAUUUAAUGUGACAAAAAAUCACUCAUAUAUGAGAGAAAAUUUAAUAGCCAUAAAAACCUGGUAAAUCUGACAAUAUUAAAACAAAAUCCAUGAUAAAUAGACUAUAAAUAGAUUAUAGACUAUAAUUCUCUUCUAUACAAAAAGCUUAUAUAAGUCCAAAAGCCAAAGACUAACACACUCACAUAAAAUGAUCAAAGGAUCAUAAAGAUCAAAUGAUAGAAAAUAAAAUAUAAAUGUUUUAAUAAUGCGUAAAGAUGUUCAUUGCGACUUCGAAUUUUAAAUGCAAAUUUAAAAUAUAAUGAGAUACUAUUUUGAUCUACCAGGCGGAUAUAGAUAAAAUAUUUGGCACUAUGCAAUAUAUAUUCAGAAGAUGGAGUAAGAGGUACUGCACAGAUGGCAUUUUCUCUAAAAAGGGCAAUUUGCCUGUAUCUUCCAAUUAAAGAAUAUACAUAUCUUUUGACUCAACAGUUGUAUAUCCUACAAUUAUACUGAUGAAGUAUAGGAUUAUUCCUUAUAGUAUUGUUUUUAAUAGAAAAAUAUGUGAAGCAAAUUAAAUGUCUAUCAAUAGAAAACUGAUUAUACUUUGUUAAAAAUUUGUAUACUCUACAGCCACAAAUAAACUAAGAAACAAACGAGUCAAAAUGAUGAAACUCUUUUAAAACUAAUAUGAAACCAUCUCCAAAGAAAUGGUUGUUAUUACCACCAAAGAAAAGUGAAGUAUGCUAUGGCACACAUGCUAUAAGCUACCAUUUGCAUAAUAAGGACACAUGCACAGAAACGGAUAUAUAUAUGCAUAAUAACAUAUGUAUGUAUACCCAUAUUUAUUUAUAUAUAUACUUACAUAUUUAAUUGCAUAUGUGUCUGUGUGUAUAUGCAUAUUUAUAUCUAAUAGAAUAAAAAAUAAACUGGUAACUUUAGUUUUGUUCUGCCCAGGAGAAGAAUUUAUUUUUGUACAUUAUUGUACACAGUUUUUCUUUUUUGGGGGGAAUGAGCAAACACACAAAACUUUUCAUUCUGUGUUUCUGGGUACAUUUUGAAUUUUGUAAUACUCAAAACUAAUAAAUAUUAAUAUUAAAAAUUUUUAAAGAAAGUAGAUAAUGAUACAACCUUUCCCCCAGUCCAGACUCCAUUAUUUUAUGGUCCUCAAAGGGUUGGGUUUUCAUACACCCCUUUAAAUGCACUUAACUGAGACUGGGAGAUGUGGAACAAAAAUAGACAAUGAAAAAUGUAAAGAUAAAGCAUGCCUAUGCACAGAAUUGGGAUCAUAUGGGGUUGGAAAAAAACAUUUAGGUGGAGUUAAAUUACCCAAUGGCUUAUGAAAUAUAGACUGGUGCAAAAAGCUUUUCUUGUGGGACUCUUAUAGAUUGGUGGAUAAAGAGAAUUCACCAACUACAAUCAUGCCACAUAUGGUCUAAUCCAUUAACUACAUUAUCUAACCCGGCCUUGAAUAAUUCAUAAAUGAGGAAGAGGAGAAAGUCACAUGAAAGCAAAUGCUAAUUAAAGAAACAAAAUUUAACUUUGUCUACCCAUGAGGAGUUCUUAGAAAUGAGGGUGAAAAUUUCAUGUCGUAGAUGAAAACUAGCCCAAACCCUUUGCCACUCUUUGCCAUCAAGAUGUGAGGUUUAUUCCCCUUUUAGUUGAAUGUGAACUGGCCCUGUGGUUGCUUAAUCAAUGGAAUGUGAGAGAACUGACACAAUGCUAGUUUGUUAUGGGAACUGGCAGCCUCUGAUUCCUCAUCUUGGUACACUUGCUCUGGGGAAAACCAGCUUUGCUAUAAGACAUUUGAAUGCCCUGAGACCAGCAAGCUAUGAGAAAGCCUAAGCUAGCCCUAUGGAGAGGCCAUGGGGAGGGAGGGAGGCAGAGAAGGGAGGAGGGAGAGAAGGAGGAAAUGGAAGUGGGAAAGUGAGAGAGAGAAGUCAUGACAUUAGAACCUAGGCAUCCCAAGCAUGCAACCUGAGUUUCUAAGCAUGUAAGUAUAAACACAUCUUGCCAAUCCAGCUCUGACAAGCUUACAAAUGACUCCAGACACAGCUGCCAUCCCUCUGUAACCACAUGAGAGACCAAAAGGAUGAAGCAUCCAACUGAGUGAAUGCACCAUCAGAAAACAAGAGCAAGAGUAAUAAAUGGCUGUUUUGAGCCACUAAGUUUUGGGGGCAGUUUGUUACACAACAAUCAAUAAUCAAAGAAGAAACUGAUUUGUGAAAAUGAAUUGCUGCUGUUAAAAAAAAAAAAAAAGCUUUUAAAUGAAACCAUGUGGGAUCAGCUUGGGAAUGAGCAUCAGGCAGACAUUAGUAGGGCCUUAGGGAGAUUGUUAGUGAAUAGAGAAAUGGCAGGUAGGAAUUUGCCAUAAGGCUUGUUUUGAGGGAAAAUAAAUGUGUUUCUUAGUAUCAAAAACUGAUGGUACUGUCAUAUGUGGUAAUAUAGAAAUGGAUCAUGUUUUUGUUUUUGCUUUUACUGAAUUUGUGGAUUUGGCUAAGGAUAUUUCCAGGGUUAUCUAAUUUAUUAUUUAGCUCUAUAUGAUAAUGUACAGAGAAAAACUAAAGAUGGAACUGUCCGGUCUCAAGAUAGAAUUUAGAAGAAACUUUCUGAGGCAGGAUUUGCCGUGUUCAAAAGUAAAGUACUAUCUUACCUCCAGUUUCUCCCAGAAAAAUACUCUGAAAAUAAAUUACUUCAAGGCAAUGAAUGAAUUCAGGACACUUAUCAUGUUUCCAAGACUGAAGUCCUAAAACCUCGGUUAAAUGCUCAGAAACUGGUAAUGCAGGGGUUCAUAAAUCCCUGAAUUUGACAAUGUUGGCAAGACUGAAGGGCACUGUCUUCUUGUAUUCUGACUCUCGGUCCCAGGUACUACAAGAGAUCUUCCGGGGUGACUUGUCUAACAAUGUGGAUUAUAAAUUUAAGUCCAAAGAUUUAAAAAGUAAUUUUACCUACUUGGACUGAAACAGAGAGAGUUCAAAGUGCAAAAAGACAUUUG
rnacentral:lncRNA from 1 species